CAGAGUUGCAAAACUCCCAAACCAUUGUGAACAUACCUUUACGUAGUUGCUUCGGCGGACGGCCCUCUCCCGAGAGCCUGUAGCCCCUCGCGGGGUGUCCGCCGGAGGACCAACCUAAACUAUUGCAAUUAGUGGCCUCUCUGAGUAUUUUAUAAUAAGUUA
rnacentral:misc_RNA from 1 species